UAGACCAAUCAUCCACAAAGAUGACUAAAUAUUUAAAAUCAGAUAAACUAGAAAUAUGAAUGGGUCGCCAAACAUCUGAAUGUAUCCAAUAAAAAAGUUUAUCACUAACUUUUUCUUCACAGGAUAGAAAAGACACUCUGUGAUGCUUGCUUAACUCACAAGCUUCACAUUCUAACUUAGACACAUAGGAUAAAGACGGGACGACUCUUCAAAUUAGUUAAAAAUGGGUGCCCAAGCUUGGAAUGCCAUUGAUGAGGAGAGAUGUUAGUUUGCAAUGUGGCUCCAGCUCUGGUCGUUCCAUUCUUGAGAUAGUAGAGUCCACUAGAUUCAUACUCUCCACCAAUCAUACUUCCCAUCUUUAGAUCCUCAAACUCACAAUAAGAAGUAUAAAAUUUGAUAGAGUAGUUUAGGGAUUUGGUUAUACAAAUAAUAGCUUAACGAGAACUUGGGAAUAUACAAAACUGAAGACAAGGAGAGAUCGGAUGUAGGAUACAUAGUGCCUUCACCAGAUACAUCAGUUAAAGUACCAUCAACCAGGGUGACAGAUGAAAUAAAUGAAGACUGGACUAACUUGGACAACAAAUUACGCUUAUCGGUCAUAUGAUCGAAAGCACCAUAAUCAAUAAUCCAUGUAGUACUCUCAGAGAAUGUAAGACAAUAUGUACCUGACUGUGCAAGGAUAGUCGUGGAGGAAGAGGUAUGAGUGGAAUGAUUUUUCAGAAGCUUGGCAUAUUCUUCCUUGGACAUAGUGACUCUGUCACUUGAAGUACUCGACUCAGUAGGAGUAGCAGGAUUGGAUACGUAACCUUUUGAACUAUCCUCUAGUGAGUUGACUUGAAUAGCCUAGAUAGGCUUCCCAUGUAAAUCUCAGCAUGUAUCAGCAUUAUGAUUGUUGAGGCCAUAAGGAGUGCAAUGAUGAUUACUGUGACCAUGACCACUAUUGCCACCACGACCACGACCACGACCACCACUAAAUCUAUCACCUUGACCAUGACCACCUCGAAUUCUCCCAUCACCUUUGCUCGAUGUAGAGAUAAAAGCCGAACGAUCUGAUGAAGCGGAAUUCUGAGUAUACAUGCUAGUUGUCCUCUGAACUCUGGCGAACGUUUGUCACUGAGGGAAUUUCACUACUUUCAAGAAUCUGGGAAUUCGUAGGCUUGAACUUAGGUCGAAGGCCAAAGAGGAAUUUGGCAAAACGAAAUUCCUCUCUUUGCCUAAGCACAACCUCAAAAUCUAUUGACAAUGGUUGGUAUACAUCCAACUCUUCCCACAUCUCGUGUAGGGCAAAAUAAUAUUCUCCCGUACUUCUAUCUCCCUGCUGGAAUGCGAAUACAUUCUGUAAGAGUUCAUAAAUAUAGAUUAAGUUUUUCUCACCAGAAUGCAUCUCCUUCAAGGUGUCCCAGACGUUUUUGACGGUCUUGAGGAAAAUUACAUUGGCACUAAUAUGUGGUUCCAUGCUAUUCCACAACAUGCCUUAAUUUGGGCAUCCUCUGCCACCUAAUCAUCAUAGUCCGUCGCCAUGAUAUUAGGUUUAUGCGAUGUCAAAUAUUUAACUUUUCUCUUUCCAGUCACAAAAUCUUCUACAGAUGUGGCCCACUGUAGAUAAUUCGUGCAAUUCAAUUUCGUUGAUGUUAUUUGGAGAGGCACCACAUCCGAUGAGUAUAAAAUACUGCUCUUGGGAUCAUUCUUGGAAUCCAUCUGAAUAAUAACAAAUAAUUUUUCUUCAACACAAAUCCUUCUGCAAACUGACCUACUAAAACAAUACGUGCUUCCAAGCUUCAACUUAUCUCGAUCAACACAAUAAAGGAGGGCUUCAGGAAACUUCUGAAUUUUCAACCUUCAAAUCUAAUUCCAUGCUUCAAAAUUGAUUGUAGAUUGCAUAUUGGAUUGAAGAUGACCUGUUUAGUCCCAUCGCGCUGGUUGAAUGUAAAAGCAGGCUACACGCCUUCGUUAAACAUGAUUUACCACCCAUUACGUGGGAAUACAACAACCGGAAGAGAUUAGGUUAGGUCAGACCCAGGCACGUUAGGGUUUCCCACCAGAGAGAAUGAAAAAAAAAAAAGUAAGAUGAAGAAGUGAGAGAUCAAGAAGAAAAAUGGAUCGACAUAGCUCUGAUACCAUGUUGAUUUGGAGAAAAAAGGAAGAAAGAAGAAAGGAGCAGAAAAG